GCUGCUUUGAAAUGUGAUUUCUGCAAUUAGAUUGAAAUACAAGGUUUUCUUUGUGGCAAGUAAAUAUGAGAGCUAUUUUGGCGCUGUUAAAUUUGAAUGAUGUGUUGUUGGGUUUUGAGAGAAUGCCAGCUAAUUGGACAACGGAGAGAUCAAAAGGCUUUGUCGUUUAUUCAUCUUUAUCUAUCCAACAAUAUUCUGCAGAGUGUCCUGAAGGAGAAAAUAGCAACUGCUUUGUGGUUGAAACUAGAGCAGUUAUGUAUGAUCAAGAGUUUUACCAGUAAACUGGCUCUAAAGCAAAAGCUGUAUUCCCAUCGCAUAGCGGAGGAAGGGUCGUUGGAAGACCAUAUUGCCGUGUUCAAGGAAAUUGUUGCAGAUUUGGAAACGUUGGAGGUUAAGUACAAUGAAAAGAAUCUUGCCUUGAUCAUGUUAUGUUCAUUACUUGCCUUAUAUGCAUUGUUUCGAGAAACCAUUUGUACAAUCGAGAUACUUUGAUUAUAGACGACUUCUAUGAUGCUUUGCACUCAAAUGAAAAGUUGAAGCAUUUAGUUGGAGCUACAUCAAGGAAUGAGGAAGCUCUUGUACUCAUGGUGGUCGACGAAGGGGCAGAUUGAGAGAGAACAACAAUUUGUGUUGCUUCUAUUACCAAAGGAGAGGACACGUAAAGAAGGAUUGUGAUACGUUGCAAGAUAAAGGUAAUUUAGCUACAAAUUAUAGAGGAAAAUUAUGUAAUUCGGAUGUGACUAAUGUUGUCGAGAAUUUUUCGGAAGGUGGAGAUGUUAUGUUGACCGUGGUUUUUGAGAUGGAGUCUAAGUCUGACGAGGAGUGGAUUUUCAAUCAGCAAGUUCGUAUUAUAUGUAUUCCAAUCGAAAUUUGUUUAAGACGUAUGUGACUGUUGAGUAAGGUGGAGUUGUAAUGGGAAACAACCAGUCUUGCCAUAUUACUGGAUCGGUUGAGUCAGAGUAAGGUUGCAGGAUGGAAAGGUCAGAACAAUUAUGUAGGUUCGACAUAUUCCAAAUCUGAAGAGGAAUCUCAUCUCGCUGAGAGCCUUGGAUGAAGGGUAUAAGUUCUCUAGUGAAGGUAGAGUCCUUAGGGUCCAAAGGGGUGUCCAGAUUGUACUUGAGGGACGGAGAAGGUCUCAAUUGUACAUUUUGCAGGGGAGCACAGAGCCAAUUAAGAGACAUUUGGACAAGUUCAGUACCGUGGUGGAUAUACAGUUUGAUAUAGUACCUCUUAUGGCGUGCUUUGAGUUGGUUAAGAACACUACUAGAUGGAGCAUUGAUGAUUCCACUUUGCCACCAAUUUCAGCAAAUACAUUGUAUUCAGUUGUUAGGAUUGGAUUCAUGGAGCGUACACUACUAAAAAGCAGCUUUUCAC
rnacentral:lncRNA from 1 species